rnacentral:misc_RNA from 1 species
UUUCCGUAGGUGAACCUGCGGAAGGAUCAUUAUUGUAUAACCGAGGUGCGAGGGCUGUCGCUGACCCGAAAGGUCGUGCACGCCCGAGUGCCCUCACACACAUCCAUCUCACCCCUAUGUGCACCACCGCGUGGGUCCCCCUUUGGCUUGUUCGGAGGGGGGCUUACGUUUUCACACAAACUUUGUAUGCAGUGUAGAAUGUAUUUUUUGUUUUUGCGAUCACGCAAUCAAUACAACUUUCAACAACGGAUCUCUUGGCUCUCGCUUCGAUGAAGAACGCAGC